rnacentral:rRNA from 1 species
CCUACGGGGGGCAGCAGUGGGGAAUAUUGGACAUUGGGGGCAACCCUGAUCCAGCCAUGCCGCGUGUGUGAAGAAGGCCCUCGGGUUGUAAAGCACUUUCAGUGAGGAAGAACGCCUGGUGGUUAAUACCCAUCAGGAAAGACAUCACUCACAGAAGAAGCACCGGCUAACUCCGUGCCAGCAGCCGCGGUAAUACGGAGGGUGCGAGCGUUAAUCGGAAUUACUGGGCGUAAAGCGCGCGUAGGUGGCUUGAUAAGCCGGUUGUGAAAGCCCCGGGCUCAACCUGGGAACGGCAUCCGGAACUGUCAAGCUAGAGUGCAGGAGAGGAAGGUAGAAUUCCCGGUGUAGCGGUGAAAUGCGUAGAGAUCGGGAGGAAUACCAGUGGCGAAGGCGGCCUUCUGGACUGACACUGACACUGAGGUGCGAAAGCGUGGGUAGCAAACAGGAUUAGAUACCCGAGUAGUC